rnacentral:rRNA from 1 species
UAAUACGUAGGGGGCAAGCGUUGUCCGGAUUUACUGGGCGUAAAGAGCGUGUAGGCGGCCAAGCAGGUCUGUUGUGAAAACUGGAGGCUCAACCUCCAGACGUCGACAGAAACCGCUUGGCUAGAGUCCGGAAGAGGAGAGUGGAAUUCCUGGUGUAGCGGUGAAAUGCGCAGAUAUCAGGAAGAACACCAAUGGCGAAGGCAGCUCUCUGGGACGGUACUGACGCUGAGACGCGAAAGCGUGGGGAGCGAACAGGAUUAGAUACCCUGGUAGUCCACACUGUAAACGAUGAUUACUAGGUGUUGGAGGAUUGACCCCUUCAGUGCCGCAGUUAACACAAUAAGUAAUCCACCUGGGGAGUACGACCGCAAGGUUG